rfam:Glycine max cultivar Williams 82 chromosome 8, whole genome shotgun sequence.
GACCUAUUAACUUAAUUGAUUAGAGCGUCGUGUUAAUAACACGCAAAUCACAUGUUCGAGUCUUGCAUGAGUCA